CUGGCUCAGAUUGAACGCUGGCGGCAGGCCCUAACACAUGCAAGUCGAGCGGUAACAGAAAGUAGCUUGCUACUUUGCUGACGAGCGGCGGACGGGUGAGUAAUGCUUGGGAACAUGCCUUGAGGUGGGGGACAACAGUUGGAAACGACUGCUAAUACCGCAUAAUGUCUUCGGACCAAAGGGGGCUUCGGCUCUCGCCUUUAGAUUGGCCCAAGUGGGAUUAGCUAGUUGGUGAGGUAAUGGCUCACCAAGGCAACGAUCCCUAGCUGGUUUGAGAGGAUGAUCAGCCACACUGGAACUGAGACACGGUCCAGACUCCUACGGGAGGCAGCAGUGGGGAAUAUUGCACAAUGGGCGAAAGCCUGAUGCAGCCAUGCCGCGUGUGUGAAGAAGGCCUUCGGGUUGUAAAGCACUUUCAGUCAGGAGGAAAGGGUGUGAGUUAAUACCUCACAUCUGUGACGUUACUGACAGAAGAAGCACCGGCUAACUCCGUGCCAGCAGCCGCGGUAAUACGGAGGGUGCGAGCGUUAAUCGGAAUUACUGGGCGUAAAGCGUACGCAGGCGGUUUGUUAAGCGAGAUGUGAAAGCCCCGGGCUCAACCUGGGAACUGCAUUUCGAACUGGCAAACUAGAGUGUGAUAGAGGGUGGUAGAAUUUCAGGUGUAGCGGUGAAAUGCGUAGAGAUCUGAAGGAAUACCGAUGGCGAAGGCAGCCACCUGGGUCAACACUGACGCUCAUGUACGAAAGCGUGGGGAGCAAACGGGAUUAGAUACCCCGGUAGUCCACGCCGUAAACGAUGUCUACUAGAAGCUCGGAACCCUCGGUUCUGUUUUUCAAAGCUAACGCAUUAAGUAGACCGCCUGGAUCGCCAUG
rnacentral:rRNA from 1 species